rnacentral:lncRNA from 1 species
UGACCUUGAACUGUAUUUAUCACUGGCUUUCCUGGUUCUCUAGCUUGCAGACAGCAAACUGUGGGACUUCCUGCCCUCCAAAACCACAUGAACCAAUUCCUAUGGAAGUUUCCUUCUCUGGAGAAUUCUAACUAAUACAGUGGAGCCCUGAGGCUGGGGCCCUACUUCAAGAGUACUGGUUUCCUUAUAAGAAGAGGUAAAGACACCAGAGAUGUGUGCACACAGAAGAAAGGCCAUGUGAGGACUCAUUGAGAAGAUCCAUAUGCAAGCCAAAGAGAGAGCUCUCUGCAGAAACCAGACCAGCUGACACCUUGAUCUUAGAACUCCAGCUUCCAGGAUGGUGAGAAGUAAUGUCUGCUGUUGAUGCUCCUUGGCCUGUGAUAUGUCGUCCUGGUAGUCCUGGUAGACUAACAAAUCUUCUAAGGAACAACGGAAGGCCCACUUUUCAACUAGUAAGCCUUUUCAAUGUCUCUGAAUGGAGGAGUGGAGGACCAAACUCCUGUUAUUGGUGGAGAAAGAUGACAGAGGAUCAUCAAGGGAGCAAUGUCAAGAAGAUGAAGAAUGCAACUUUGGAGAGGCUCAGACAGAGUCUCUAACUGUUGACCUUCAGAGUCUUCCUCUAUCUCGAGGUGGAGAUGUACACAGAGAUCAUGGCUGUUGCUGGACUCACAGCUCCAAAGUGGAAUAGAAGGCAUGAACCUUGGUGUCUAGUGUGCAAGUGCAUGAACAAGGUUUCUCCUCCUAUUUUUGUCCUUGGUUCACCAGCACAAUGGCUUCAUCAUACUGUUUACCUUAGUGGAGAGAAGGGUGAUUACUU